AGAUUGAACGCUGGCGGCACGCCUAACACAUGCAAGUCGAACGGGAGUAGCAAUACUCUAGUGGCGGACGGGUGAGGAAUACGUAGGAAUUUGCCCUUAAGUGGGGGAUAACCCGGGGAAACCCGGAUUAAUACCGCAUGACCUCGAAAGAGCAAAGUGGGGGAUCGCAAGACCUCACGCUUUUGGAGAAGCCUACGUCGGAUUAGCUAGUUGGUGAGGUAACUGGCUCACCAAGGCGACGA
rnacentral:rRNA from 1 species